AUUCCUGUUGAUGUGUGCAACGAAGAACUCAGCAACUAUAACAUGACACAUGAUGUUGAAGAUAUGCCAUUCGUAGAGUUUGUGAGAUCCACCUUCAUCAAAAAACGGAAAAAUGGUACUGAUUGCAUUGUUAGACGUUUAAGAAAUGAAGUGGACAACGAAGACGUCAUAACCAAGCAUUUAAUGGAUAUAACAAUCACAGGGAAUUUUAUUCACAGGAAAGCAAAUAAAACCACAUUGCAAUACAGGUGUGAAAGAUGUAAUAAACCAAGAGGAAAAAAAAACAGGUCCUUUGAAUACCAGGGCAAAUAAUUGUCAGGCAUAUGU